rnacentral:rRNA from 1 species
AGUGAACGCUGGCGGCAGGCCUAACACAUGCAAGUCGAGCGGCAGCGGGUCCUUCGGGCUGCCGGCGAGCGGCGGACGGGUGAGGAAUACAUCGGAAUCUGCCCUGUCGUGGGGGAUAACCUAGGGAAACUUAGGCUAAUACCGCAUACGACCUACGGGUGAAAGCGGGGGAUCGCAAGACCUCGCGCGACAGGAUGAGCCGAUGUCCGAUUAGCUAGUUGGCGGGGUAAAGGCCCACCAAGGCGACGAUCGGUAGCUGGUCUAAGAGGAUGAUCAGCCACACUGGGACGGGGACACGGCCCAGACUCCUACGGGAGGCAGCAGUGGGGAAUAUUGGACAAUGGGCGCAAGCCUGAUCCAGCCAUGCCGCGUGGGUGAAGAAGGCCUUCGGGUUGUAAAGCCCUUUUGUCCGGGAAGAAAUCGUCUGGGCUAAUACCCCGGGCGGAUGACGGUACCGGAAGAAUAAGCACCGGCUAACUUCGUG